GCCCUCGUGGCCUAAUGGAUAAGGCAUCGGUCUCCUAAACCGGGGAUUGCGGGUUCGACUCCCGCCGAGGGUA